AACGAACGGUAGCGGCGUGGAUUAGGCAUGCAAGUCGCACGAGAACCUGCUUUUAGUAGGUAAAAGUGGCGAAAGGGUGAGUAAUGCAUAGACAAUCAACCCCCGAUUCCGGGAUAACUGAGGGAAACCGCAGCUAAUACCGGAUAGGCUCACGAUUACCUUGGUGAUUUUGAGUAAAGGCGGCCUCUUAACAAUGCUUUCGAUUGGGGACGAGUUUAUGUGCUAUCAGCUUGUUGGUGAGGUAAAGGCUCACCAAGGCUAUGACGGCUAGCCGACCUGAGAGGGUGACCGGCCACACUGGGACUGAGACACUGCCCAG
rnacentral:rRNA from 1 species